rnacentral:rRNA from 1 species
GAUGAACGCUGGCGGCGUGCCUAAUACAUGCAAGUCGAGCGAACAGAUGAGGAGCUUGCUCCUCUGACGUUAGCGGCGGACGGGUGAGUAACACGUGGAUAACCUACCUAUAAGACUGGGAUAACUUCGGGAAACCGGAGCUAAUACCGGAUAAUAUAUUGAACCGCAUGGUUCAAUAGUGAAAGACGGUUUUGCUGUCACUUAUAGAUGGAUCCGCGCCGCAUUAGCUAGUUGGUAAGGUAACGGCUUACCAAGGCAACGAUGCGUAGCCGACCUGAGAGGGUGAUCGGCCACACUGGAACUGAGACACGGUCCAGACUCCUACGGGAGGCAGCAGUAGAGAAUCUUCCGCAAUGGGCGAGAGCCUGACGGAGCAACGCCGCGUGAGUGAUGAAGGUCUUCGGAUCGUAAAACUCUGUUAUUAGGGAAGAACAAAUGUGUAAGUAACUAUGCACGUCUUGACGGUACCUAAUCAGAAGGCCACGGCUAACUACGUG